CUAGAUAGGCCAACAAGUCUUCAACAAAAUAUGGGAGAAAGAUUCUUUCCAAAUAGUUCCAUUAACAAAGAAACAAUAAAACAAAGUUAAAAAAAACCUCUAAACAAAUGAAAGAAAACAAAUAUUUAUAGGCACAUAGAUGACCAUUCAAAUUCGGCAUCUAGGUGUUCACACAAUAAUAAAAACGUUCACACUAAUUGAUACGAGUCAC
rnacentral:lncRNA from 1 species